rnacentral:lncRNA from 1 species
GAAAAUCAUGGAAACAGAAGUGACAAUAACCAGAUGAUCAGUAAGCCACCAGCCCUAUCUAUUCCCAACCAAAGCCUUGACACCCGAAUACUAACCCAAGAAGAACUUAAGGAAAGAUUAGCAAAGGGUUUGUACUAUGAUGAAAAGUGGAGUAUGGAGCACCGAUGUAAACAAGGGCAACUUCUGAUGAUUGAGCCAAUUAGAGAGGAACCGGAAGUAAAAGAGUUGGACUCCGAUCAUAAAGGUAUGAAAACUGAUGAAGAUAUUGAAGCCAUCACACAUACAGUGCAUGCAUUGGCUGGCUACACUAACCAACAAACUAUGAAAAUCGGAGGAACUUUGAAGCAUCAACCUGUCACUAUUUUGAUUGAUACAAAUAGCAC